rnacentral:rRNA from 1 species
AAAUUGAAGAGUUUGAUCAUGGCUCAGAUUGAACGCUGGCGGCAGGCCUAACACAUGCAAGUCGAACGGUAACAGGAAGCAGCUUGCUGUUUCGCUGACGAGUGGCGGACGGGUGAGUAAUGUCUGGGAAACUGCCUGAUGGAGGGGGAUAACUACUGGAAACGGUAGCUAAUACCGCAUAACGUCGCAAGACCAAAGAGGGGGACCUUCGGGCCUCUUGCCAUCGGAUGUGCCCAGAUGGGAUUAGCUAGUAGGUGGGGUAACGGCUCACCUAGGCGACGAUCCCUAGCUGGUCUGAGAGGAUGACCAGCCACACUGGAACUGAGACACGGUCCAGACUCCUACGGGAGGCAGCAGUGGGGAAUAUUGCACAAUGGGCGCAAGCCUGAUGCAGCCAUGCCGCGUGUAUGAAGAAGGCCUUCGGGUUGUAAAGUAC